UAUCUGGUUCUUAUUCGCUGUGUGUGACCACUCACUGCAGCUUGCUCAUUUGUAAUUCUAAACAUAUUUAAGGUGUCUUUUUUAACUCACUUUUUGUCUCUCCCACAACGUUAUUCCUCUCUCCUACAGCGUCCAUCACAAUUACAUGGCCAAUUAUGCAAAUUAGGUGAUGAUGUAAUUUAGCGACUUCUAGGACAGCCAAUAGCUACUUUGCCUUACUGAGGAGUUUACAACACUGCAGGCUACACACAGUCUCUUCUGCAGAUAGAUGUGUGUGCGUCUGGUAGUGGGUCUCUAUCUAUCCCACUCUUUUCCUUUCGGCAGGGUUAAUACCUGCCUGGAGCCCGAACAAAAAUCUUUAUCUUUAUCCUCUAACAAUACCACUACAACCUUAAACAACUAUAUGGGUAAUGCAAAAGGAAACUGCACUAAAAUUUAAACGUGUUCAUCCAACUGUCUUGGCUGUCUCAUGCUGUGUGUGAAGGUAUGUCAUAAUCAGGAAUGCCUGAACUUGGAGUCCGACCAAGGCAAACUGCAGUAACUGCAGUCAAAACACAGUGGAACAAGUGAGCAUCUCAAAUUCCCUCGCAGAUGUCUUCCAAUCGACACACAAGUAUGGCAACAUCAUAUGAUCCCUUACCUGACUGUGUCAUAGUGAUGUCCGUGCUUUCUGUAGACCAGUGCUGAGCAGGAGUGGAGUUGCCGUAGAGCACCAGGGGUCAGGGUGGUUCUGCUCUCUCUCUGCCACAGGGGCAGCACUCUCUUCUGGGUCAGUCUGAACAGAGGCCUCCUCAUGACGAUUGAUGCAGCAAAGGCCAUACUAUGGAUGAACCAGUUCUACUUCUACAUGGCAUUAAUGGUACACUGCCCCUCAGUAAUCUCACUUCCUGAAAGUCCUAAUGGACUGGGAGGGUGAAGAAAGCAUGUGUUUUCCCGUAUCUCAUCUUCACUGUGGUGGUGACCCUGAAGCUAAAUACUUCAUGAUUGUGUAACAACCUUCUAAAAAUCGUAAAUUCCCAAUGUUCCUCAUAAGAACGAAAGUCGGGAAAAGGUCAAAUUGUAAUAGCACAGAAGACAUUCGUAGAGCUGAAUUGAAGGGAUAAGUUCAACCAAAUGACAAAAUGACCAGUUGGUUUCCUUACCUUGAAAGCAGUCUGUGUACAAAGGUAUGAUUUGGUUUCCAAUUGCUAACGUUUUAGCAUUUGUGGCACAAAUCCCAUUCAAGUCAUGGUACAGAUAUUAGAAUUUUUCGCUCAUGUCCAAAUCAUCCAAUAUGAUCUAAAAUUGAAUGUGAAGCUCAACAAAGUCACUCAAAGAUGAUUUGAACAUGAUGCACAAAAAAUGCUAAUAUCGGUACCAUGACUUGAAUGUGAUUUGUGCCACAAAUACUCAAACGUUAUAUUUGGAAACAGUGGCAGGGAAACUAAACCAAGGCAUGGAUUGCUGUCAUACCUUGUCCAUAGACUGCUUAUAGUGUAAGGAAACCAAUAUAUACUUUUGUAAUUUGGGCAAACUAUCCCUUUAAGCAUUUAUACAUCAUGGUAUUAUAAAAACAUUAUAUUUAAAUGCACUUCCAAAUCAAAUUGCAAACAUAUCUGUUGCUUAGCAUUUUAUUUUCACAAUUCUUCCCAUUUGAGUCCAGUUCAGUUUGCUGCAAAGAUAAUAGACAUAGCCUACUGUAAAAUAAUUUAUAAUAAAAUGUGUGUGUGUACCAGA